GGCCCCAUCGUCUAGGGGUUAGGACAUUAGCUUUUCAAGCUAACGGCCGGGGUUCGAAUCCCCGUGGGGCUA
rnacentral:tRNA from 3 species